UUUUGAGCUUGUAUGUGGAAAGUCUCCUUGUGGUAAGGUGGAAAUAGUUUUAUCUGGGUAGGGUGGUUCAUGUGCAUGGUUAGAGGUUGUGCUUGCUUGCAUCAUUAUGUCUGUGGCAUCAUCUUGUUGCUGGUAUUUAUUUCCUGCUUGUUUUGUUUUGGGUAGCUCCUGGGACCGGAAACGAGUUCGAAGAGUCCGGUGAGUUCGUGCAGGAAGAUCAGGAUCAUUUCCACUAUGAAGAAAUCACAGACAAGAUGAUCGUGACCUUGACACUGUUUCUAGCUUUGUUAUGCUUAGUGUUACGUUUCCUUCGUUACAUUUCCGUUGCCUACCACAUGAUAUAUAGGUCAUCAAACAU
rnacentral:lncRNA from 1 species